CGUGCUUAACACAUGCAAGUCGAACGAUUAAAGCCCCCUUCGGGGGGUGUAUAGAGUGGCGAACGGGUGAGUAUCACGUGGGCAGCCUGCCCUUGGGUUCGGAAUAACAGUUAGAAAUGACUGCUAAUACCGGAUGAGGACUUCGGUCCAAAGAUUUAUCGCCCAGGGAUCAGCCCGCGUAGGAUUAGCUUGUUGGUGAGGUAAAAGCUCACCAAGGCGACGAUCCUUAGCUGGUCUGAGAGGAUGAUCAGCCACAGUGGGACGGAGACACGGCGGAGACUACUAGGGGAGGCGGCAGUGGGGAAUAUUGGACAAUGGGGGAAAGCCUGAUCCAGCAAUGCCGCGUGAGUAAUGAAGGCCUUGGGGUUGUAAAGCUCUUUUACCCGGGAUGAUAAUGACAGUACCGGGAGAAUAGGCCCCGGCUGACUCCGUGCCAGCAGCCGCCGUAACAC
rnacentral:rRNA from 1 species